ACAUAUGAAGAAGGAUGUGUUUGCUUCCCCUUCCACCAUGAUGGUGCAUUUCCUGAGGCCUCCCCAUCCUUGCUGAAUUUAGAUGGUACGUCUCUCCUUCAUGUGCUGCCUGGGGUUGAGGAGAAGUGGCAUAGAGAUACAAGCCUCCUGGGUGAUGAGAAAGACAGAGAAGCAUUUUUCAUAGAGAGUUGCCAGGAUUGCUCAGCAUCCAGAUCAACCAUGAAAGGCACCAGGAGAAUGAACAUCUGCAUUUUUCUUGUCCAUGAUUCUUCUACAUAAUGCUACUGAAGCGAAGAUAAUCUUUAAUUGUAGAAACAAGAAGAGAAGCAAAUAUAUUACUAGUAUCCAGAAGCUCCUUCACAGUUUUCAGAUAAUGCUAAUGAGCUAGUUCCUGGUUUGUAUCACAAACUUCUCCCAAAUUCUUCCCCUAAACAUUCCUUCAUGGUGGAGCUAAUUAGACUAUUGCAGCUCCACCGUUCAUUACUGCUUGUAUUUUGUAAAAAUUAGUGCAUAUGUCAUGGGCCUAGGGAUACAUCCAUUGCAGGGAAAUGGGAGUAGGGCAUUCCCAGUUUUAGCUAUAAUUGAAAAUUAUUCUUAGGGACGAAAAUGCCAUUGAAUAAUUCUGCCUUUUCU
rnacentral:lncRNA from 1 species